rnacentral:rRNA from 1 species
UACGGGGGGAGCAAGCGUUGUUCGGAUUUACUGGGCGUAAAGGGCGCGUAGGCGGCCACCGCAAGUCGACUGUGAAAUCUCCGGGCUUAACCCGGAAAGGUCAGCCGAUACUGCGGGGCUAGAGUGCAGAAGGGGCAACUGGAAUUCUCGGUGUAGCGGUGAAAUGCAUAGAUAUCGAGAGGAACACCUGCGGCGAAGGCGGGUUGCUGGGCUGACACUGACGCUGAUGCGCGAAAGCUAGGGGAGCGAACGGG